rnacentral:rRNA from 1 species
CGUCUUUUGUUUAUAUAGAAGAUAUAACCUGCCCACUGAAGUGUUGAAGGGCCGCGGUAUUGUGACCGUGCAAAGGUAGCAUAAUCAUUAGUCUUCUAAUUAAAGGCUGGAAUGAAUGGUUGGACGAGGUAAAAGCUGUCUCGUGUGAGAUACUUAUAAUUUAACUUCUUAGUGAAAAGGCUAAGAUAGUGUUGGAGGACGAGAAGACCCUAUAGAGCUUAAUAAUGUAAUUAAUAUGAAAUUUAGUAUAGUUUUUAUUAUUAAUCAAAUUAUUUUGUUGGGGUGACAGGAAAAUAAAUGAACUUUUCUAUAAAAGUUACAUUAAUGAGUGAGAGUAGGAUCCAUUUUUAAUGAUUAUAAGAAAAAGUUACCUUAGGGAUAACAGCGUAAUCCUUUUUGAGAGUUCUUAUCGACAAAAGGGUUUGCGA